CUACGGAAUAGCCUCGGGAAACUGGGAGUAAUACCGUAUGUGCCCUUCGGGGGAAAGAUUUAUCGGCAAAGGAUCGGCCCGCGUUGGAUUAGGUAGUUGGUGGGGUAAUGGCCUACCAAGCCGACGAUCCAUAGCNGGUUUGANAGGAUGAUCAGCCACACUGGGACUGAGACACGGGCCCAGACUCCUACGGGAGGCAGCAGUGGGGGAAUCUUAGACAAUGGGCGCAAGCCUGAUCUAGCCAUGCCGGCGUGAGCGAUGAAGGCCUUAGGGUUGUAAAGCUCUUUCAGUGGGGAAGAUAAUGACUGUACCCACAGAAGAAGCCCCGGCUAACUCCGUG
rnacentral:rRNA from 1 species